CAGUCGCCGCGGUAAUACGUAGGGUGCAAGCGUUAAUCGGGAUUACUGGGCGUAAAGCGUGCGCAGGCGGCUAUGCAAGACAGAUGUGAAAUCCCCGGGCUCAACCUGGGAACUGCAUUUGUGACUGCAUGGCUAGAGUACGGUAGAGGGGGAUGGAAUUCCGCGUGUAGCAGUGAAAUGCGUAGAUAUGCGGAGGAACACCGAUGGCGAAGGCAAUCCCCUGGACCUGUACUGACGCUCAUGCACGAAAGCGUGGGGAGCAAACAGGAUUAGAUACCCCUGUAGUCCCUGUCUCUUAUAA
rnacentral:rRNA from 1 species